rnacentral:piRNA from 1 species
UAUGAGCAAGCCGAGUUCAGCAGGGU